UACGUAGGGGUCGAGCGUUGUCCGGACUUACUGGGGCGUAAAGCGUGGGUAGGUGGUCGGUGAUGUGCCGUGUGAAAGCGCCGCGCUUCUCGCGGCGAGGUCGCGGUAGACACACCGACUGGAGGCACGGAGGGGGGCGUAGAAUUCCCAGUGUAGUGGUGAAAUACGUAGAGAUUGGGGAAGAACACCAGUGGCGAAGGCGGCUAUCUGGACGGUUUCUGACGCUAAGAACGCGAAAAGCGUGGGGGAGCAAACAGG
rnacentral:rRNA from 1 species